rnacentral:rRNA from 1 species
CCUACGGGUGGCAGCAGUGAGGAAUAUUGGUCAAUGGACGCAAGUCUGAACCAGCCAGGCCGCGUGCAGGAAGACGGCUUUAUGAGUUGUAAACUGCUUUUGUACGAGGGUAAAUCCCGAUACGUGUAUCGGGUUGAAAGUAUCGUACGAAUAAGGAUCGGCUAACUCCGUAACAUCAGCCGCGGUAAUACGGAUGAUUCAAGCGUUAACCAGAUUUAUUGGGUUUAAAGGGUGCGCAGGCGGAAGAUCAAGUCAGCGGUAAAAUUGAGAGGCUCAACUUCUUCGAGCCGUUGAAACUGGUUUUCUUGAGUGAGCGAGAGGUAUGCGGAAUGCGUGGUGUAGCGGUGAAAUGCAUAGAUAUAACGAAGAACUCCGAUUGCGAAGGCAGCAUACCGGCGCUCAACUGACGCUCAUGCACGAAAGUGUGGGUAUCGAACAGGAUUAGAUACCCCAGUAGUC